rnacentral:rRNA from 1 species
UACAGAGGUCCCAAGCGUUGUUCGGAUUCAUUGGGCGUAAAGGGUGCGUAGGCGGUCGGGUAAGUCGGAUGUGAAAUCCCAGGGCUCAACCCUGGAAAGCCGGCCGAUACUGUCGGACUAGAGUCCGGAAGAGGCAAGUGGAAUUCCCGGUGUAGCGGUGAAAUGCGCAGAUAUCGGGAGGAACACCAAUUGCGAAGGCAGCUUGCUGGGACGGUACUGACGCUGAGGCGCGAAAGCGUGGGGAGCAAACAGG